AGAACAUUUUUUUUUUCUUCACAUGCAUUUCAUUAAACCAUCAACUAGAAACAUUCAACAUGUCUUUUGCUAGAAGUUUUACAAGUUGUGCUGGAGGAUUAGAAAUCCAGCCAGGCAAUAAAGUACCGUUCCUAACUGCACAUGCUAUCCAACUGGCACUUUCAUUAGCAGAUCGAGGAACAAAACUGAUAGACACAUUGACCAAACAUGACAGAAGCCUCUUUUGAUCUUGGAUAAUGGCAGCCACCUCCCAUGGAAUUAGAUCAGGGAGUGAGGAUAAAAGCGACUUGAUCUGGAGAGAAUCAAUUUCCACCAAACAGCUUCCUAGAUGCAUGUUAGCAGCAAACUUAAUUGCUGCCUGAAGGCCAAUACCUUCUGCCACAAGAGGAGAAAAACAUCGAAAUUUUGCUGCAAAUCCAUCAAUAAUAAAACCUCCAAAAUUUCGAAUCAAGAAACCAUAACCAGCUUCAGAAGUUACAAAAUUAAAUGAAGCAUCUACAUUAAUUUUAAACGUACCCUGAACUGGGGGAGACCCUACUUCUUCAACCCGAGCCCUUGAAGAAUCAACCAUAGCCAACGAAUGAAGUUGUGGAAGAGCAAGAUGACGCAGUUCAUCUGCCCCAUUCUGAGCUUUUCAAAGUGUUACCAUCGGGUUAGGGGGAAUAUCAUUAAAAAUGGCAUCAUUACGAGUUUUCCAAAUGUUCCAUAAAAAGCUGCUAAAGACAAUGCCCUUUUAUCACUGCAGUAAAACAUAUCCUGAACAGACUGCCAUCACGCUGCAAAAGACUCAAAACCUUCUUCCCUUGGUCUGAAUCCUAAAUUCGAACCAAACCACACUGCCUUAGCAUGAUCACAGAAGAAUAUCAAAUGUUCCGGAGAUUCAUCAGCAUUAAAACAUAAAGGGAAAAUUGUAGAGUCGGUACACUUCCUUCCAAACAAAUUUACCAUUGUUGCCAAGGAAUCUGCACAUGCUCUCCAAAUGAACGCUCUGAUUUUUUGAGGUAUUUUCAACGACUAUAUACCCUUCCAGAUUUUAUUACUAAAAGAUCCAGAAAUCAUUGGCAAUCCUUGCUGACUUGUCUCUUGGGCUAGUUUCAACCUAAAACAAACUGCUUUGACAGAUGGCUUGCCUGUUUUGGCAAAGUGCCAAAUUCUCUUAGCUUCAUAACGUGAUGAUCCCAGAGGAAUUUUACUAAUUUCCUGACACCCUUGGAGGGAAAAGCAAGCCAUCAGGAUUUGCUCAUCCCAUUGAUUAGUACCAUGUUUAAUCAAGUCUGCCACAUAAAUAAUUGGGCAGCCAAUAGGAGGAGAACUAGAUACCUUGAAACCUGGUAAGGUAGGAAUCCAAGGUUCUGACCAAGCAUUCAGGAAGCCUGAUCCCUUGACAUUCCAACGCAGACCAGGCAAAAGAGCUCGCCUUCCUUCAAGGAGGCUUUUCCAUCCCCGCGACGACUUAUAACCUCUAUCAGCUCCCAAAAAAUCUGAGAAAGGAAAAUAAAAACCUUUUAUAAUUCUUGCCCACAUCGACUCUGGAUAUUGGAUAAGUUUCCGUGCUUGUUUAGCCAGAAAAGAGUUAUUGAACAGGGCCAAAUCCUUAAAACCCAUUCCCCUAACGUUUUUACUCCAGGACAAUUUCUUCCAGGAUAGCCAAUGAAUAUUGGCCUUAUCAAAAGAUUGUCUCCACCAAAAUCUAGCAGCUAACUGAUGGAUCUCAUUGAUAAUAGAAGCUGGCAGCUUGAACACAGACAUCACAUUCGUCGGAAUGGCUUGAGCAACCGCUUUGAUUAGAAUUUCUUUACCGGCUAGAGACAACAUUUUACACUUCCAUCCUUUCAAUUUGUUGAGCACCCUGUCCGCAGGGCUUGCAGUUUGGACCGACCCCAAGAGAUAGGAAGACCCAGAUAUUUGCACCGCAUACCCAAGUUGAAAAUUUGAAGAAUCCCAGCAAUUUGAUUCUGAACCAGUAGUGUAGUAUUUCUACUGGAAGUGAUAUCAGACUUAUUAACGUAGGGCCUUGUUUUGCAUUGCUAUUGAAAUUGCCGUUGAAAAAAUCUAGUUAGAGAGUUUUAAAAAAUAAUUAAAAA
rnacentral:misc_RNA from 1 species